UGGGCCUCACUGUUGUCUUAGUCUCAAG
rnacentral:piRNA from 1 species